CCGGUGCCGGAGGCGGCCUUUUAAAUGUUCUGGUUUGGGGCUGCUGUUGUCUGCUUCAGUGAGCAGUAACUUCAUCAACUGGAGCUGCAUCAUGGAUGAUAUCCAAGCUCUUCUUUAAGACUGAGAGCACAACAAGGAGCAGAACCUAGGUUCAAGUGCGUUGGAACCAUGCCAGGAACACAUAAAUCUCUCAGAAACCACCAUAAAAUAAUGCAUUAUAGAUGCCUUUAUUUCAAUCAAGUGCCUGCCACUAUACUGGGUGGACAUGAAGCUGUACGUACUGAGAGAGGAAAAGCAUCCCUGCUUGGCCAGCAUUUCCCUGCAAGCAGCAGAGCCCAGGCCUGAGGCUGCUCGGCGUUGGUGUGACCCGCUGCUGGUGUCACCCGCCCUGGGCACAGUCACCACAGCUGCCCAGAGCCAGGAGAUGCAGCUGAGGGAUCCAGGAGGAUGCAACUCAUGUUUUCAAGGAGGACAGGAAAAAUCACUUAAUUCGACCCAGCUAUGCCAAAACCUUUGGUUUUAGGUGGGAUUGAGCAGCCAAACCCCAGAGCCUCCAGCCCUGAUAGCCUGCACUGGAGGACACCUGGUCCUGCACACACAGUGGGUGGUCAUCGAAGUUUCAUGUGCAAUUGCUGCUCCCCUGAAAGAAGUGCUCCCCAGGAUGGAGCCACUGAAUGCUGUGAGGGGAUGGUGGCCCCCAAGAUGCAAUUCUGGCAACAUCCUGGUGGCCCUGUGGGGUCCCUCGGGGGAAACAAAGGUGGCACUGGCCAUCAGCAGAGGUUUCACAUGUGACAAUAAAACACACCUUGGACAUCC